rnacentral:pre_miRNA from 1 species
AUGAUACUCCCUCCGUUCGGAAUUACUUGUCGCAGAAAUGGAUGUAUCUAGACGUAUUUUAAUUCUAGAUACAUCCAUUUUCGAGACAAGUAAUUCAGAACGGAGGGAGUAGAUG